rnacentral:snoRNA from 1 species
ACGCAGAUGUUUCCAGUGAGGCUGAGCCUGCAGUGGCUCUGUCCUUUCCUGUAGUGUCUGCUAGAGAGAGAUGGGGCGGUUUGAGGCCAUCUUGGGUUUAACCCAGUCAAAA